UACGGGGGGGGUAAGCGUUGUUCGGAAUUACUGGGCGUAAAGGGCUCGUAGGCGGCCAACUAAGUCAGACGUGAAAUCCCUCAGCUUAACUGGGGAACUGCGUCCGAUACUGGAUGGCUUGGAUUUGGGAGAGGGAUGCGGAAUUCCAGGUGUAGCGGUGAAAUGCGUAGAUAUCUGGAGGAACACCGGUGGCGAAGGCGGCAUCCUGGACCAAUAUUGACGCUGAGGAGCGAAAGCUAGGGGAGCAAACGGG
rnacentral:rRNA from 1 species